rnacentral:rRNA from 1 species
UCUUUAUGGGGUGACUGCGUACCUUUUGUAUAAUGGGUCAGCGACUUAUAUUCUGUAGCAAGGUUAACCGUAUAGGGGAGCCGAAGGGAAACCGAGUCUUAACUGGGCGUUAAGUUGCAGGGUAUAGACCCGAAACCCGGUGAUCUAGCCAUGGGCAGGUUGAAGGUUGGGUAACACUAACUGGAGGACCGAACCGACUAAUGUUGAAAAAUUAGCGGAUGACCUGUGGCUGGGGGUGAAAGGCCAAUCAAACCGGGAGAUAGCUGGUUCUCCCCGAAAGCUAUUUAGGUAGCGCCUCGUGAACUCAUCUUCGGGGGUAGAGCACUGUUUCGGCUAGGGGGCCAUCCCGGCUUACCAACCCGAUGCAAACUACGAAUACCGAAGAAUGUUAUCACGGGAGACACACGGCGGGUGCUAACGUCCGUCGUGAAGAGGGAAACAACCCAGACCGCCAGCUAAGGUCCCAAAGUCAUGGUUAAGUGGGAAACGAUGUGGGAAGGCACAGACAGCCAGGAUGUUGGCUUAGAAGCAGCCAUCAUUUAAAGAAAGCGUAAUAGCUCACUGGUCGAGUCGGCCUGCGCGGAAGAUGUAACGGGGCUAAACCAUGCACCGAAGCUGCGGCAGCGACACUAUGUGUUGUUGGGUAGGGGAGCGUUCUGUAAGCCGUUGAAGGUGUGCUGUGAGGCAUGCUGGAGGUAUCAGAAGUGCGAAUGCUGACAUAAGUAACGAUAAAGCGGGUGAAAAGCCCGCUCGCCGGAAGACCAAGGGUUCCUGUCCAACGUUAAUCGGGGCAGGGUGAGUCGACCCCUAAGGCGAGGCCGAAAGGCGUAGUCGAUGGGAAACAGGUUAAUAUUCCUGUACUUGGUGUUACUGCGAAGGGGGGACGGAGAAGGCUAUGUCAGCCGGGCGACGGUUGUCCCGGUUUAAGCAUGUAGGCGGAGGU